UGGCGACCGGCGCACGGGUGAGUAACGCGUAUGCAACCUGCCUGAUACCGGGGUAUAGCCCAUGGAAACGUGGAUUAACACCCCAUAGUACUUUUAUCCUGCCUGGGAUGGGAGUUAAAUGUUCAAGGUAUCGGAUGGGCAUGCGUCCUAUUAGUUAGUUGGCGGGGUAACAGCCCACCAAGACGAUGAUAGGUAGGGGUUCUGAGAGGAAGGUCCCCCACAUUGGAACUGAGACACGGUCCAA
rnacentral:rRNA from 1 species